UUUACAAAGAAAUGUGUUUUCUCUAAUGUUCAGAAUUUUUCAUGAUGUGGUUAUCGAUCUCCUCCAAAUUAUAUGUAAUUUAAGAUCAAUAGUUAAUGAAGUAUUGCAAUCAGUUAUUAAAAGCGUCAGGUUUAGUUUCAAGUCAUCGUGUCUGAGAAUUCUAGCAACACAUCAAUGAAGUUGUUUACCGGAAAGACCCAUAAGGGGAGGACAAUUAGCAUAAUACAGAAUGGACAACAAAUUGGAAGCCAUUGAAUAUUUUAGCACCCGACUCCAUGUGAUGUUGGCCAUUACAUGGAAUAAAAGCUUCAGCUUUCUUGAAGGCUUUGACUUGAGUAGACAGUGGCAACAGCUCGGUUUGGAAGGGGUGAAUGCAGAAUCACCACGAGUCUGUGGCUGGGAUUCUCACUAAGUAGUGUGUCUCUAAUAUUUAGAUGUGUUGACAUUUUUCCUUUGGCAAAUUUUGCUUGCUUGCUUUCUAUGGUGCAGCUAGAAAUUUUAAGAGAAGGACAGUCUCCUCUAAACUUUACUCCUAUCAAAGACAUGGGAGCCACCACCAGCCACUGAGUGCAGGGGCACUAAACACUAUGCGCAGUUGUCAAGUCUGCCUUCAGUUCAGCCUUCUAGCAGCAAGAGAGAAGAUCCAGUUUAUCUGUCAAACAAAUUUGCUGUAAUUCUGAGAUCUCUGCAAAGCCAGCCACAAAAGGCAAUGCUUUUGACAACCUGAAGGACUCAGCAAUACAAGAACCCCUGGAAAUUAAUGAGGCAGAACUAAGCAGCUUUAUGAUCUGAAAUUGCUGACCAGGAAGUUCAUCUUAGGAGUUACUGAGGGCAUAUCUUCAUGAGUGCCCACAGCAGGAGGGUACAGAUCUCUCAGCUGCCAAACCAAAAAACUUACACAAUAAAAGUUAUACUGUAUGAGAUACCUCUUUGACCCUAAAAAUAUGAUCAAAGCUGGUUAGCUUGGGCAUAGGGCUGUAAUGAUACAUUACUGCUGCGGCACAACGUAUCAGGAAAUCAAAGCAUUCACAGCUCUAAAAAUAAGUGUUAUUUUUUGAAAUUGCUAACUAGUUGAUGAAAUCUUAGUGUAGUGUAACUUUAGUUUCUUCUGGUCUCUGAAACCUCAGCCAUUUGUUUGCCAUCUAUCUUAUCAAGUCACUUUGAUCUGACAGUCUCCUACAUCCUCAGUUUUUUUCUGUACAGCAGGUGCACUUGGUCAUCUUGAUCCAGUGCAUAGAUUCGCAGAGCUGAAAGACUGUGGCACUGCAGAGACAAAGCUGUCUAACCCUGUUCCCAACCCCCUGGAAGAUCCACUCCUUAGCUAUAGGUAGUGUCAUGGCUUCUUUCUCACUGCGUGACUGUUGAUACAUCACAUUUCUUGUGCUGGCAUGUCAUGAAUGCAUGGGUUAUCCGGUAAACAGGGUCUUUGCAAGAGAAGUCAGGAGGCCUGCUAUUCACAGUUUUAAUUUCAAACACCAAAAAAAUUCUGCAGCCUAGCUCAGUUGAGGACAGUGCUUCUAUGAAACUUCUAUGUUUCAUGGUAUGGCUGUAUUUACAAUUGGUUUGUUUUCAGUAUCUACAGAGGGACUUACAAAUACAACUAACCAACCAUGCUAACAAAUUUGCAGUCUAUAAAUUUUGAUUUGCAAGCAAGAAACACUAGAGGGCAUUGCAAGUUCUGUGCACAUACUUCUGAUAACUUCACAGUGCUCUGCUUUUAACUGCAGUCUUCUCAACGUGAUUAACAAAUAUGAGAUUACUAACAUGCUGGAAAAAGCUGUGGAGA